ensembl:lncRNA
GUCACUUUUGAUUUUAUUAAUUUCUCUCUUAAUUUUUAGGAUCUCUAGUUUGGUUUUCUUCUGGGGAUUUUUAAUUUGUUCACUUUCAAGUUUUUUUUUUAUUUGCAUUUCCAAUUCAUUGAUCUCUGCCCUCCCUAGUUUGUUAAAAUAUGCACUCAGGGAUAUGAAUUUUCCUCUGAGUAUUGCUUUGGCUGCAUCGCAUAAAGUUUGAAAGGAUGUCUCACCAUUGCCAUUUUCCUCAAUGAAAUUAUUUAUUGUUUCUAUGAUUUGUUCUCUAACCAAUUUUGGAGUAUCAUAUUAUUUAAUUUCCAAUUAAAUUUUGAUUUGGUUCUCCAUGUACCCUUACUGAUCAUUAUUUUUAUUGCCUCGUGAUCUAAAAAGGCUGCUUUUACAUGUUAUAUUUCUGUGACCUAGUGUAUGGUCAAUCUUUGUGAAUGUGCCAUGUGGUGAUGAGAAGGUGUAUUCCUUUUUGUCCCCAUUUAUUUUUCUCCAUAUGUCUAUUAACUCUAAUAUUUCUAAGAUUUCAUUCACUUCUUUUACCUCUUUCUUAUUAAUUUUUUUAUUUGAUUUAUCUAACUUUGAUAGUGGUUGGCUCAAAUCUCCCACUAAUAUGGUUUUACUGUCUAUUUCCUCCUUCAAUUCUCCUAGUCUCUCCAUUAGAAAUUUGGGUACUAUACUAUUUGGUGCAUACAUGUUGAUUAGUGAUAUUUCCUCAUUAUCUAGAGUCCCUUUUAACAAAAUAUAUUUGCCUUCCCUAUCCCUUUUAACCAGGUCUAUUUUUACUUUGGCUUUGUCAGAUAUCAUGAUUGCAACUCCUGCCUUCUUUCUAUCAGUUGAGGCUCAGAAGGUCUUACUCCUUCCUUUAAUUCUGACCUUGAGGAUCCAUUCAGAGAUUCUGCAACUACCUGGAGCACACAGAUCAGAGUCCAGAUAUACAGAAUCCAGAAAGAUGAAGAUACAGAUUAAGAGAAAAAAAUAUCCACCUAAAGUUUAAUCAAUGUUAUUGUUAUUGUUAUUGUAAUAUACUUGUUGUGCUUCAUAAACCCUAAAUUCACCUAGGUCCCUUUAGAAUGAUGACUUAGCUACAAAAGUAGAUCUCCUGAAAUAAUCAGUAUGUUAUUUAGGAGAUGAAUUGGAAACCAUCAAAACAAUAUUGUAACUGAAAUGCAAUUAUAGAUAUAUGGCCAUUUGUGUAACACCUUUUUUCCAUUUGGACAAUUUUUUUUCUUUUUCAGCUGUUAUUUUCUUUUUUAAUUACUUUCAUUUUUUACCCACUUUUCUUCCCAUUUUCUUGAACUCCUUUUUGAGUCCCUCCAGAGCUUGUGACCAAUUUCCUUUUUUGGUGUCUAAUUUGCAUGUAUUUGUUUCUCACUCUCUACUGUUUCUUCCAUAAUUUGCUCUUUUUCUCCACUGGAAUUUCCAGGGUCAAGAGCUGUUUUGACUAUUGUUUUCUCCUUUUCUUGCUGGAGGAUUAGAGUUCCUCCAUAUUGGUGGUCAUUACUAUCUUGGUUUCUGUCUCAUAGGGCUAUGCCUUGGGAUUAUUUUCCCUUCCCUGGCAGAGCCCUGAGUGAGGGCAGCUUGAUCUGUGGUAAAUUUUGUGUAGUGGACUUCGAAGUGUUUUGCCCUGAGGCUAUCUUCCUCAGUAGUUGCUAUUACUAUUGCUCCUGCUGUUGAUGCUGCUGCUGCCUCAACUGCUGCUGCUUUUACAGCUCUCAGCCCCAUUUUCUAUGGCUGGUAUUUUCAAGGGUGUGGGUCUGUAGUUACAGUACACUGUAUCAGCUUAUGCUCUGAAGCUAUGUAAUUUAGCUGCUGCCACCACCACUGCUGUUGCCUCAACACCUCUCCCAAUGCUGACUCAUCAUCUCUGCUGUUGCUGCUUCUGCUGCUGCAGCUCUGAGCCCCACCUCAUGUGUUUAAUAUUUUAUUUUCUUAUUUAUAUUUCCCUUUUUAUUUUUACAUUUUUUAUUUAAUUAAUUAAUUUAGAAUAUUUUCCUUGCUUACAUGAUUCAUGUUCUUCCUCUCCCCUCCUCCCACCCACCUCCCAUAGCCAACUCUCAAUGACUGGUGUGUUCAAGAGAACUCCAAGAAUUUGAAGAUUUCCUUAGCCCUGAUUCUAACUGGCAUGGUGAGUGGGAGGGGAAGUCACUUGUGCAGAUUAUAGCUUGGGAAUCCCUUUUCUCUGUCUACCUCUCUCAGUGCUUCCACUGGAAGAGUUCCUUUACUCAUCCUGUUUCAACCUGUGUCCUCUUGGGACUCUGUAAUGAUCUGUUUGGAAGAAUUUUCUGAGAGGCUCCCAGUUUUUCCUGUUACUAAGCUAUCAUAUUGGCUAUAACUCCAAGGAAAUUCCUAAGAAAAAAUGGAUUCAAAACUAAAUUUUAUCAAACAUUUAAAGAACAAACAAUCUAAAUACCAUACAAACUAAUUGACAAAAUAAGCAAAGAAAAGUUCCCAAAUUCUUCUUAUAACACAAAUAUUGUACUGAUUCAAAGCCAGGCAGAGCAAAACCAGAAAAGCAAACUACAGACCAAUCUCCUUAGAGAAAAUAUGUGCAAAAAUCUUAAAUAAAAUAUUACAAGAAGUUAUCA